UACGAAGGGGGCUAGCGUUGUUCGGAAUUACUGGGCGUAAAGCGCACGUAGGCGGACAUUUAAGUCAGGGGUGAAAUCCCAGAGCUCAACUCUGGAACUGCCUUUGAUACUGGGUGUCUUGAGUAUGGAAGAGGUGAGUGGAAUUCCGAGUGUAGAGGUGAAAUUCGUAGAUAUUCGGAGGAACACCAGUGGCGAAGGCGGCUCACUGGUCCAUUACUGACGCUGAGGUGCGAAAGCGUGGGGAGCAAACAGGG
rnacentral:rRNA from 1 species